UUAACAUGCAGUCGAACGGCAGCACGGGGAGGGGCAACUCUUCCUGGUGGCGAGUGGCGAACGGGUGAGCAAUACAUCGGAACGUGUCCGGUCGUGGGGGAUAACCAGUCGAAAGAUUGGCUAAUACCGCAUGAGCUCGAAAGAGGAAGGCGGGGGACCCGCAAGGGCCUCGCGCGACUCGAGCGGCCGAUGUCGGAUUAGCUUGUUGGCGGGGUAAAAGCCCACCAAGGCGACGAUCCGUAGCUGGUUUGAGAGAACGACCAGCCACACUGGGACUGAGACAUGGCCCAGACUCCUACGGGAGGCAGCAGUGGGGAAUCUUGGACAAUGGGCGCAAGCCUGAUCCAGCCAUACCGCGUGUGUGAAGAAGGCCUUCGGGUUGUAAAGCACUUUCGGCCGGAACGAAAUCGCCUUCGUUAAUAGCGAAGGUGGAUGACGGUACCGGAAGAAGAAGCACCGGCUAACUACGUGCCAGCAGCCGCGGUAAUACGUAGGGUGCGAGCGUUAAUCGGAAUUACUGGGCGUAAAGGGUGCGCAGGCGGCCCCGCAAGUCAG
rnacentral:rRNA from 1 species